rnacentral:rRNA from 1 species
AUUGAACGCUGGCGGCAUGCUUUACACAUGCAAGUCGAACGGUAACAGGCCGCAAGGUGCUGACGAGUGGCGAACGGGUGAGUAAUGCAUCGGAACGUGCCCAGUCGUGGGGGAUAAAUACUCGAAAGAGUAGCUAAUACCGCAUACGAUCUAUGGAUGAAAGCGGGGGACCGUAAGGCCUCGCGCGAUUGGAGCGGCCGAUGUCAGAUUAGGUAGUUGGUGGGGUAAAGGCUCACCAAGCCAACGAUCUGUAGCUGGUCUGAGAGGACGACCAGCCACACUGGGACUGAGACACGGCCCAGACUCCUACGGGAGGCAGCAGUGGGGAAUUUUGGACAAUGGGCGCAAGCCUGAUCCAGCAAUGCCGCGUGCAGGAAGAAGGCCUUCGGGUUGUAAACUGCUUUUGUACGGAACGAAACGGCUCUGGUUAAUACCCGGGGCUAAUGACGGUACCGUAAGAAUAAGCACCGGCUAACUACGUG